rnacentral:rRNA from 1 species
UACGUAGGGUGCAAGCGUUGUCCGGAAUCAUUGGGCGUAAAGCGCGCGUAGGUGGCUCUAUAAGUCCGUUGUGAAAGUCAAAGGCUCAACCUUUGAAAGCCGAUGGAUACUGUGGAGCUAGAGUACGGAAGAGGCGAGUGGAAUUCCUGGUGUAGCGGUGGAAUGCGCAGAUAUCAGGAGGAACACCAAUAGCGAAGGCAGCUCGCUGGGACGUUACUGACACUGAGGCGCGAAAGCGUGGGGAGCGAACAGG